UGUGUAUACACCUGAUAGGUGCAUGUGUAAAUAUAUAUACACACAUGUAGCAGGUAUAUAUAUGUAUAG
rnacentral:pre_miRNA from 1 species